rnacentral:rRNA from 1 species
UACGAAGGGGGCUAGCGUUGCUCGGAAUCACUGGGCGUAAAGCGCACGUAGGCGGACUCUUAAGUCGGUGGUGAAAUCCUGGAGCUCAACUCCAGAACUGCCUUUGAUACUGAGGAUCUUGAGUUCGGGAGAGGUGAGUGGAACUGCGAGUGUAGAGGUGAAAUUCGUAGAUAUUCGCAUGAACACCAGUGGCGAAGGCGGCUCACUGGCCCGAUACUGACGCUGAGGCACGAAAGCGUGGGGAGCAAACAGG